GGUACUUGUGCGUUAUUCCUAUGAACGUUAUUUCUAUAACUAUCAUUAACAGCUUUUGGAUUGUGAAAUUAGUUGGUUCUAACUACUGCUAGUCUGGGUACGGGUUUGCUAAUGAACAAUUUUCAUUUUAGUUAUAUUUAGUGGAAGGAGCAGAUGCAACCGAGGAUAUCAAAUCGACAGCUGAAGUCACCCAUUGGUUAUCUGAAGGAUUGCAGCAUCACCUUCCACCUGAUGUUGAGCCAAACUUGACGAAACUUGGACUAGCAGGCCAUAGCCGUGGGGGAAAAGUUGCAUUUUCGCUAGCUCUUGGUAGACUUGCUAGUGACCUGAAAUUUUCAGCGUUGAUCGGUGUUGAUCCUGUGGAUGGAAUGGAGAAAGGAAAGCAAACUCCGCCAUCAGUUCUCACCUACGUUCCGCGUUCCUUCAUUAAUCUUGAUAUGCCUGUGAUGGUAAUUGGCUCGGGUUUGGGAGAAGUUAAAAAGAAUCCUCUGUUCCCUGCUUGUGCUCCUAAAGGGGUGAAUCAUCGCGAUUUCUACAACGAAUGUUGCAAGCCAGCUUGUUACUUUGUUGCAAAGGAUUAUGGACAUAAUGAUAUGUUAGAUGAGGAGACCAAAGGGAUUCGAGGCAAGGCUACUUAUUGUUUGUGCAAGAAAGGGAAAUCUAGAGAGCCCAUGAGGAGAUUUGUUGGAGGGGUUUUGGUUGCAUUUUUGGAAGCUUAUUUGGAAGGUAAUUCCAGCCACUUGAUAGCUAUUAGAGAUGGCCAUGUUGCACUGCCUGUAGAGCUCCAAGAU
rnacentral:misc_RNA from 1 species